rnacentral:rRNA from 1 species
CUGGUUGAUCCUGCCAGUAGCAUAUGCUUGUCUCAAAGAUUAAGCCAUGCAUGUCUAAGUACAAGCCGAAAUAAGGUGAAACCGCGAAUGGCUCAUUAAAUCACACCUAAUCUACUGGAAUGUUAGCGGUUACUUGGAUAACUGAGGUAAUUCUUGAGCUAAUACAUGCGAAAAAUCUCGACUCACGGAGAGAUGCUUUUAUUAGAUCAAAACCAAACGGCUUCGGCUGUUUAACUUUGAUGACUCUGAAUAACUUUGGGCUGAUUGUAUUGCCUUGUGCAGACAACGUUUCCUUCGAAGGUGUGCCCUAUCAACUGUUGACUGUGAUAUAGACGCUCACAGUGGUUUUGACGGGUAACGGGGAAUCAGGGUUCGAUUCCGGAGAGGGAGCCUUAAAAACGGCUACCACAUCCAAGGAAGGCAGCAGGCACGCAAAUUACCCAAUGGUCGAAGACCGAGGUAGUGACGAAAAAUAACAAUACAAGACUCUUCCGAGGCCUUGUAAUUGGAAUGAGUACACUUUAAAACCGUUCCCGAGGAUCUAUUGGAGGGCAAGUCUGGUGCCAGCAGCCGCGGUAAUUCCAGCUCCAAUAGCGUAUAUUAAAGUUGUUGUGGUUAAAAAGCUCGUAGUUGGAUUUCGGCGGGUAGUGGUCGGUUUGAAUUGCUUCAACACUGGCUUUUUUACCCGUGUGUUUUGCCAGAAUUUAACGGGUGAUCUUCGCCGAUUGUCCGUUAGAACUGGCAGGUUUACUUUGAAAAAAUUAGAGUGCUCAAAGCAAGCUUGAUUGCUUGAAUAUUCGUGCAUGGAAUAAUAGAAUAGGAAGUCGUUUCUAUUUUGUUGGUUUUCGGAAACCGACUUAAUGAUUAAUAGGGAUAGUCGGGGGCAUUUGUAUUCAAACGACAGAGGUGAAAUUCUUGGACCGUUUGAAGACAAACUACUGCGAAAGCAUUUGCCAAGAAUGUUUUCAUUAAUCAAGAACGAAAGUUAGAGGUUCGAAGGCGAUUAGAUACCGCCCUAGUUCUAACCAUAAACGAUGCCAGCUAGCGAUCUGCCGGUGCUUGAUUUUCUGGCCCGGCAGGCAGCUUCCGGGAAACCAAAGCUUGUGGGUUCCAGGGGAAGUAUGGUUGCAGAGCUGAAACUUAAAGGAAUUGACGGAAGGGCACCACCAGGAGUGGAGCCUGUGGCUUAAUUUGACCCAACACGGGAAAUCUCACCAGGCCCGGACACCAGAAGGAUUGACAGAUUGAUAGCUCUUUCUUGAUUUGGUGGGUGGUGGUGCAUGGCCGUUCUUAGUUGGUGGAGUGAUUUGUCUGGUUAAUUCCGAUAACGAACGAGACUCUGUCCUGUUAAAUAGAUCCAACCUAGU